AGUCUCUGAUUGUUUGAUCAUCCUCUAUAUAUUUGAUGAAGCUUCAACUAGCUUCUACCAGACAACCCCUCAUUUUUUUAUGGUAAUUAAGCUUCAUCUCUAAUUGUUUAUUGUCUGAUUAGAUUAUUAUAAUAUUUGGGUUGUUGGAUAUGUUGGAUUUGAAUUGAUUUUUUGUUUUCAUUUUUCAUAGUGAUGGAUUUUCGAAUGAAAUGCACUCAACCCUAAAUUCUAGUGGGGGUGGCUGAAGCAGUUGCCGGAUAUGACUUAUGGCAGCCAAGUUUAGGAGUCAAAAUGACCACACUACCCCGUCAAGGGUUCAAAUCUUGCCGUCAGAUCGCAUUGUAAGGGGUCUCUUUGGAAAAACAAUUCUUAAGACCAAUUGUGAGGUUUGUUCUUAUAUCGUACAUGAGUGUUUUUAUAACUCUUUUGCACAAUUGUUAGUAUUUGUAGUUGUGAUUGGUGUUGUCCUACAUGUUUGGCUUGAAGAAAUAAGACAUUACUUUUGAUAAACCAUAUUGAGAGUGAAGGAAUCUCUUUUUGACCUGGUCA